UCAUGGCUCAGGACGAACGCUGGCGGCGUGCUUAACACAUGCAAGUCGAACGAUGAAGCCCUUCGGGGUGGAUUAGUGGCGAACGGGUGAGUAACACGUGGGCAAUCUGCCCUGCACUCUGGGACAAGCCCUGGAAACGGGGUCUAAUACCGGAUAUGACCAUCUUGGGCAUCCUUGAUGGUGUAAAGCUCCGGCGGUGCAGGAUGAGCCCGCGGCCUAUCAGCUUGUUGGUGAGGUAAUGGCUCACCAAGGCGACGACGGGUAGCCGGCCUGAGAGGGCGACCGGCCACACUGGGACUGAGACACGGCCCAGACUCCUACGGGAGGCAGCAGUGGGGAAUAUUGCACAAUGGGCGAAAGCCUGAUGCAGCGACGCCGCGUGAGGGAUGACGGCCUUCGGGUUGUAAACCUCUUUCAGCAGGGAAGAAGCGAAAGUGACGGUACCUGCAGAAGAAGCGCCGGCUAACUACGUGCCAGCAGCCGCGGUAAUACGUAGGGCGCAAGCGUUGUCCGGAAUUAUUGGGCGUAAAGAGCUCGUAGGCGGCUUGUCACGUCGAUUGUGAAAGCUCGGGGCUUAACCCCGAGUCUGCAGUCGAUACGGGCUAGCUAGAGUGUGGUAGGGGAGAUCGGAAUUCCUGGUGUAGCGGUGAAAUGCGCAGAUAUCAGGAGGAACACCGGUGGCGAAGGCGGAUCUCUGGGCCAUUACUGACGCUGAGGAGCGAAAGCGUGGGGAGCGAACAGGAUUAGAUACCCUGGUAGUCCACGCCGUAAACGGUGGGAACUAGGUGUUGGCGACAUUCCACGUCGUCGGUGCCGCAGCUAACGCAUUAAGUUCCCCGCCUGGGGAGUACGGCCGCAAGGC
rnacentral:rRNA from 1 species